UCCCUGGUGGCUCAGACGGUAAAGCAUCUGCCUGCAAUGCGGGAGACCUGGGUUUGAUCCCUGGGUUGGGAA
rnacentral:tRNA from 1 species